UAGAGUACACUUCAGAUAUUGAAAGGUUACCGCCGCUCUUUUGUGUGAAGAGUACUGGAAAGUGGAGGAGGACUACUAUGAACAAAUUAUAUAGAGUCCCGAAGUUGGUUACGGAUAAUGGCCAAGAGAAUACUCCUCUUAUUCAUACGGCAUCGCCAAUAGUAUUUGAAUCAAGAAAAGCUGAAUUAAUUUUCUUAAUUGUGGAGAAGACGUACGAGUUGAAUGAGCUCACUACAGAAUUACGAGAAUUAGAAGAGCGUAGUGCUAGAUG